rnacentral:rRNA from 1 species
CACGUAGGGCGCAAGCGUUGUCCGGAAUUAUUGGGCGUAAAGAGCUCGUAGGCGGUCUGUUGCGUCCGCUGUGAAAACUCGGGGCUUAACCCCGAGCCUGCAGUGGAUACGGGCAGACUAGAGGUAGGUAGGGGAGAAUGGAAUUCCCGGUGUAGCGGUGAAAUGCGCAGAUAUCGGGAGGAACACCGGUGGCGAAGGCGGUUCUCUGGGACGGUACUGACGCUGAGACGCGAAAGCGUGGGGAGCGAACAGG